AAAUCCGGUUCACUUUAACACUGAGGCGUGACGACGAGGCACUACGGUGCUGAAGCAACAAAUGCCCUGCUUCCAGGAAAAGCCUCUAAGCAUCAGGUAACAUCAAAUCGUACCCCAAACCGACACAGGUGGUCAGGUAGAGAAUACCAAGGCGCUUGAGAGAACUCGGGUGAAGGAACUAGGCAAAAUGGUGCCGUAACUUCGGGAGAAGGCACGCUGACACGUAGGUGAAGUGAUUUACUCAUGGAGCUGAAGUCAGUCGAAGAUACCAGCUGGCUGCAACUGUUUAUUAAAAACACAGCACUGUGCAAACACGAAAGUGGACGUAUACGGUGUGACGCCUGCCCGGUGCCGGAAGGUUAAUUGAUGGGGUCAGCGCAAGCGAAGCUCCUGAUCGAAGCCCCGGUAAACGGCGGCCGUAACUAUAACGGUCCUAAGGUAGCGAAAUUCCUUGUCGGGUAAGUUCCGACCUGCACGAAUGGCGUAAUGAUGGCCAGGCUGUCUCCACCCGAGACUCAGUGAAAUUGAACUCGCUGUGAAGAUGCAGUGUACCCGCGGCAAGACGGAAAGACCCCGUGAACCUUUACUAUAGCUUGACACUGAACAUUGAGCCUUGAUGUGUAGGAUAGGUGGGAGGCUUUGAAGUGUGGACGCCAGUCUGCAUGGAGCCGACCUUGAAAUACCACCCUUUAAUGUUUGAUGUUCUAACGUGGACCCGUUACCCGGGUUGCGGACAGUGUCUGGUGGGUAGUUUGACUGGGGCGGUCUCCUCCUAAAGAGUAACGGAGGAGCACGAAGGUUGGCUAAUCCUGGUCGGACAUCAGGAGGUUAGUGCAAUGGCAUAAGCCAGCUUGACUGCGAGCGUGACGGCGCGAGCAGGUGCGAAAGCAGGUCAUAGUGAUCCGGUGGUUCUGAAUGGAAGGGCCAUCGCUCAACGGAUAAAAGGUACUCCGGGGAUAACAGGCUGAUACCGCCCAAGAGUUCAUAUCGACGGCGGUGUUUGGCACCUCGAUGUCGGCUCAUCACAUCCUGGGGCUGAAGUAGGUCCCAAGGGUAUGGCUGUUCGCCAUUUAAAGUGGUACGCGAGCUGGGUUUAGAACGUCGUGAGACAGUUCGGUCCCUAUCUGCCGUGGGCGCUGGAGAACUGAGGGGGGCUGCUCCUAGUACGAGAGGACCGGAGUGGACGCAUCACUGGUGUUCGGGUUGUCAUGCCAAUGGCACUGCCCGGUAGCUAAAUGCGGAAGAGAUAAGUGCUGAAAGCAUCUAAGCACGAAACUUGCCCCGAGAUGAGUUCUCCCUGAGACUUAAAGUCUCCUGAAGGAACGUUGAAGACGACGACGUUGAUAGGCCGGGUGUGUAAGCGCAGCGAUGCGUUGAGCUAACCGGUACUAAUGAACCGUGAGGCUUAACCUU
rnacentral:rRNA from 2 species